rnacentral:tRNA from 1 species
GCCUCUGUAGCUCAGUUGGUAGAGCAUGGCACUUACAACGCUAGGAUAGUGGAUUCAAUACCAUCCGUACGUA